GACGAACCGUGCGAACGUUAUUCGGAAUCACUGGGCUUAAAGGGCGCGUAGGCGGGUCGGUAAGUCAGGGGUGAAAUCCCACGGCCUAACCGUGGAAGUGCCUCUGAUACUGCCGGCCUCGAGGGGGAUAGGGGCGUGCGGAACUCAGGGUGGAGCGGUGAAAUGCGUAGAUAUCCUGAGGAACACCGGUGGCGAAAGCGGCGCGCUGGAUCCCUUCUGACGCUGAGGCGCGAAAGCCAGGGGAGCAAACGGG
rnacentral:rRNA from 1 species